rnacentral:rRNA from 1 species
AUUGAACGCUGGCGGCAGGCCUAACACAUGCAAGUCGAACGAGUGGCGGACGGGUGAGUAAUGUCUGGGAAACUGCCCGAUGGAGGGGGAUAACUACUGGAAACGGUAGCUAAUACCGCAUACCAUCGGAUGUGCCCAGAUGGGAUUAGCUAGUGGGGGGGGUAACGGCUCACCUAGGCGACGAUCCCUAGCUGGUCUGAGAGGAUGACAAGGCACACUGGAACUGAGACACGGUCCAGACUCCUACGGGAGGGAGCAGUGGGGAAUAGUGCACAAGGGGCGCAAGCCUGAUGCAGCCAUGCCGCGUGUAUGAAGAAGGCCUGCGGGUUGUAAAGUACUUUCAGCGUGGAGGCGUUACCCGAAGAAGAAGCACCGGCUAACUCCGUGCCAGCAGCCGCGGUAAUUC